UACGUAGGGUGCAAGCGUUGUCCGGAAUUAUUGGGCGUAAAGAGCUCGUAGGCGGCUUGUCGCGUCGGCUGUGAAAACCUGGGGCUCAACCCCGGGCCUGCAGCCGAUACGGGGAAGCUAGAGUUCGGUAGGGGAGACUGGAAUUCCUGGUGUAGCGGUGAAAUGCGCAGAUAUCAGGAGGAACACCGGUGGCGAAGGCGGGUCUCUGGGCCGAUAUUGACGCUGAGGAGCGAAAGCGUGGGGAGCAAACAGG
rnacentral:rRNA from 1 species